rnacentral:rRNA from 1 species
CGAUUGAACGCUGGCGGCAUGCCUUACACAUGCAAGUCGAACGGUAGAGUAGCAAUACUUGAGAGUGGCGAACGGGUGAGUAAUAUAUCGGAACGUGCCCAACUGUGGGGGAUAACGUAGAGAAAUUUACGCUAAUACCGCAUACGAUCUAAGGAUGAAAGCGGGGGAUCGCAAGACCUCGCGCAGUUGGAGCGGCUGAUAUCAGAUUAGCUUGUUGGUGAGGUAAAAGCUCACCAAGGCGACGAUCUGUAGCUGGUUUGAGAGAACGACCAGCCACACUGGGACUGAGACACGGCCCAGACUCCUACGGGAGGCAGCAGUGGGGAAUUUUGGACAAUGGGCGAAAGCCUGAUCCAGCAAUGCCGCGUGCAGGAAGAAGGCCUUCGGGUUGUAAACUGCUUUUGUACGGAACGAAACGGUCCGCUUUAAUACAGUGGGCUAAUGACGGUACCGUAAGAAUAAGCACCGGCUAACUACGUG